CCUACGGGAGGCAGCAGUAAGGAAUAUUGGUCAAUGGACGCAAGUCUGAACCAGCCAUGCCGCGUGGAGGAUGAAGGUCCUCUGGAUUGUAAACUUCUUUUCUCUGGGACGAAACCCCCGAUUUCCAUCGGGCCUGACGGUACCAGAGGAAUAAGCACCGGCUAACUCCGUGCCAGCAGCCGCGGUAAUACGGAGGGUGCAAGCGUUAUCCGGAUUCACUGGGUUUAAAGGGUGCGUAGGCGGGUUUGUAAGUCAGUGGUGAAAUCCCCAAGCUUAACUUGGGAACUGCCAUUGAUACUGCAAAUCUUGAAUUUUCUGGAGGUAAGCGGAAUAUGUCAUGUAGCGGUGAAAUGCUUAGAUAUGACAUAGAACACCCAUUGCGAAGGCAGCUUACUACGGGAACAUUGACGCUGAGGCACGAAAGCGUGGGGAUCAAACAGGAUUAGAUACCCUGGUAGUCCACACUGUAAACGAUGAUAACUCGCUGUCGGCGAUACACAGUCGGUGGCCAAGCGAAAGCGAUAAGUUAUCCACCUGGGGAGUACGACCGCAAGGUUGAAACUCAAAGGAAUUGACGG
rnacentral:rRNA from 1 species